rnacentral:rRNA from 1 species
AGCGUAGACGGUGUGGCAAGUCUGAUGUGAAAGGCAUGGGCUCAACCUGUGGACUGCAUUGGAAACUGUCAUACUUGAGUGCCGGAGGGGUAAGCGGAAUUCCUAGUGUAGCGGUGAAAUGCGUAGAUAUUAGGAGGAACACCAGUGGCGAAGGCGGCUUACUGGACGGUAACUGACGUUGAGGCUGAAAGCGUGGGGGAGCAAACA